rnacentral:tRNA from 1 species
AGUCUCAUAGCUCAGCUGGUUAGAGCGCUACACUGAUAAUGUAGAGGUCGACGGUUCAAGUCCGUCUGAGACUACAA